AAAGUCAGAUUAAGGACUUCAAUUCUUAGCAUUGGCAAAUUAUAAGAACUACCAUCAAAUGUUGUCAUCAUCACACUAUAGGUAAAUUUUGUGUAAUUGAUGAUUUUAACUCAAUAUAGGUGCUCUUGUUGGGAAUCAAUAUAAAUUGCCAAAGGAGUGAAAUCAAGCUCUUAUAGGUUCUCUUAUUGUUGAUAAUGAGGUGAAUAUCAAGCUCAUUCAAAAGAAAUGUCACAACUUCCUUUUGUGUGUCUCCCUCAUUCUCCAUGAACUGCACCUUGAAGUCCUUCAUGCAAAUGGUGCUAAUAUUGGGAAGCAUUAUAUCUUCACGCUCAAUACAAAGAUCUAUGAAGGCUCAUGUGAAUAUGUCAGGUCCAUUGGUACAAAAUUGAUGGAAGUUGCAGAUCGUCAAACAAACUACGUUUCUAAUUUUUGAAGUACUAUUGAAGAGUUGAUGUAUUUAUACCUUUGGUGAUUGAUUGAUAGGCAAUUUUUUUGUACAAAUGACACUUGAGAACAAUUAGUUGGUGGUUAUAUGGGACUUUAGACACAAAUGAUCAUUGCCCUCCUAUUGCAAUAACUUUUAGAAAACCUAUUAUAGUUCAUUCUUCACUAUUUAAAAAACUGUGAGCAAAUUUUUUUUUCAUCUAUAACUUGCGAUUAUUAUGUACUCGUAAAAAUUCUUUUCUAAUA